UUCUUUUUACAGGCCAAUUACUAAGAAAAACAAUUCUUUCAUCAUUUUCCAAAUGGCCAUGGAGGGAAAGCAAACUAGAGGUAGGCAAAAGAUUGAGAUGAAGAGGAUCGAAAACGAAGAGGAUCUUCUUGUUUCUUUCUCGAAACGGAGAUCCGGCGUCUUCAAAAAAGCUAGCGAGAUGAUAACACUAUGUGGCGGUGAGGUGGGAAUUGUGGUUUUCUCACCAUCUGGCAAGCCUUUCUCGUAUGGUCAUCCAUCUGUCGACAAUGUCAUCAAUCGGUUUCUGGACCAAAAUCCACCCGAAAACGAUGACUACACUAUUCAGUUCAUGGAGAAUCAUCGACAGAUGAGAAUUUCCGAGGCUAUCGAACAGUACAACGAGCUUAUCAACCAGUUAGAAGAUGUGCAGGAGCGACAGAAAUCGCUCCUAAGGAAAGCCAGGAGAAGGAGGAAUCGAGAGCACCUGUGGUGGAGUGCACCCCUUGAUGAGCUUGGGGUGGAUGAGCUCAAACAAGUCUAUGUAUCCUCGGCGGAGAUACACAUGACAAUCUCCAACCAUCUUAAGGAGAGGAGUACCAAUAUUUUUGGUGCCUCCUCUUCUGGAUCUGUCCAACAAACCAAUCCCAACUUUGAUGCAAAUCCAAGUGGGACUGGUUCUUAUGCAUUUCCUCCUGGCUACGGCCAUUAAUUUUGAAAAACCCUCCUUAAAGCUAGCUAGGGUUUUUCAAAGUAGGACACAUGAUUAGGAGGAGGCCGAUCAGAGCCGUGACUGUCCAAUUGGCGGAAGCGUUGGGAGUGCUGGAAGGUUGCUGCAUGGCGAGACAGAGGGGGUUCUCCCGCAUUGUGAUUGAGUCGGACUCUAAAGGGAUCGUUGAAUGGCUGAACGGGUGUAUUGAGCAAGGGGCUUGGGAACUGUUCCCUGUUCUUGGUAAGAUACGAAGCGAAGGUGAAUCCUUUGUUUCUUGUGACUGGUCUUGGGUGCCAAGAUCAACUAACAAAGCGGUGGAUCAUGUGGCAUCGCAUUCUAGGGUGGAGAUGUGCAACUUGUAUGGGUCCGUAGACCCCAUCGUAGUUUGUUCGUAUCCUAAACAAAGAUGGUUUUCCUUGCCCUCCAUUCAAUUUGUUGUGUAUGUUUUGUACAUAUAAGGGUGACAUGUGGUUUCCAUGUCGUGUUCUUGCCCUUCUAGUGUUGUUUCUAUUUUGAUGUUGUUAGCCUGUGUGGCUUUCUGUAUCCCGGUUUUGGCUUUGGCCUUGGUUAAUGAUAUUCUCCAGUUCU